rnacentral:rRNA from 1 species
UACGUAGGGGGCAAGCGUUGUCCGGAUUUAUUGGGCGUAAAGAGCGUGUAGGCGGCUUGGUAGGUCUCGCGUCAAAACCUGAGGCUCAACCUCAGUUCGCGUGGGAAACCACCUAGCUAGAGUCCGGAAGAGGAGAACGGAAUUCCCAGUGUAGCGGUGAAAUGCGCAGAUAUCAGGAGGAACACCAAUAGCGAAGGCAGCUCGCUGGGACGUUACUGACACUGAGGCGCGAAAGCGUGGGGAGCGAACAGG